GGUGAUGGCUGGAUUUAAGAAGGAAAUAACCAGCCCUCUUCCAGGCUUACGGAAUAUCAAGAGGACCUCCCAGCUUAGGAAACAGUUUGGACUGCUUCAGGCUACAGAACUUCCGUAUUUCCACCAUCUUGAUCAUUGCUCUCAUCUGGGGCUCUUGACAUUGUGGGGUGGCUGAGAGCAAACUCCCGUGUGACAAGUGAGGCCAUGUAAGAACACUCCUGGGCUGACGUGCUGAAGGCAAGAAUGAGAGGUUAACCUCGGUUUGACUCCCUCUUCAAAAUGGCUGGAAGCUGUUGCCUUUGAUCCUCACCAAAGCCUUUAAUACUUUGGAGCCAGAGAACAGUAUUAUAUUUUUCAGUGCCAUCUAAAUCCCCCCGGUACAUAGUUGUGUAUUCUUCGUUGUGGGUUCCUCUAGUUGUGGCAUGUGGGAUGCUGCCUCAGCGUGGUCUGACAAGCAGUGCCAUGUCCGCGCCCAGGAUUCGAACCGACGAAACACUGGGCCGCCUGCAGCAGAGCGUGCGAACUUAACCACUCGGCCACGGGGCCAGCCCCUGUCUCAAGAUUGGCACCUGGGCUAACAACUGUUGCCAAUCUUUUCUUUUCUCCACCCUCCUCCCCUGCACUUUAUCUCCCCAAACCUCCCCUGCACACAGCUGUAUAUCCCAGCCACAGGCCCUUCCAGUUGUGGGAUGCCGCCUCAAUGUGGCCUGACGUGUGGUGCCAUGUCCGCGCCCAGGAUCCAAACCCUGGGCCACCGCAGCAGAGCACGCAAACCCAACCACUCAGCCACGGAGCCGGCCCCUAAUUAGCACUCUUUCAUUUCGGCUUAAAGAGGUCCCUUUAACAUUUCUUGUAAGGCUGCUCUAAUGGUGAUGAACUCCUUUAGCUUUUGCUUCUCUGGAAGACUCUUUCUCUCUCCUUCAACUUGGAAGGAUAACUCUGUUGGGGUAGAGUAUUUUUGGUUGGAAGUUUUGUUUUCUUUCUUUUGGGGCUUUGAAUCCAUUAUUCUACUCCCUUCUGGCCUACAAAGUUUCUACUGAAAAAUCUCAUAGUUUUAUGGGAGUUCUCUUGUUUGUAACAAGUUGUUUUUCUCUUGCUGCUUUUAAGAUUCUCUUCGUGUUUUUAACUUUUGAUAGUUUAAAGUGUUUUGGUGUGGGUCUCUUUGGAUUCCUCUUAUUUGGGAUUCUCUGGGCUUCCUGGAUCUGAAUGUCUGUCAGAUUAGAAGCCUGCCCCUCAGGCCAAAGCUUUAAGAUAAGCAAAUAGGGCUCUUUCACAAAAUGGCUGGGCACUUGUCAAUUGGCUGCCUCUCUGCUGGGCCCUGGGGAGUAGCUGGGUAGAGUCCCUGCAGCUUCUUAAGAACUGGUUUUUAGGUGGGUGAAAUGAGCAAACAGGGUCAAAAGGUAGAAACUUGCAGCUAUAAAUAAGUUCUGGGGUGUAAUGUAUGACAUGAUGACUAUAGUUAGUAAUACUGUAUUGUAUGUUUGACAGUUGCUAAGACAGAGGUUAAAAAAAGCUAUUAGAAUUUCCUGUAGUCUUACAGUUUUUCUUUAUCUUUCAAAUUAAAAAUGUGACCAGACUGCAAAAACAAACAAACAAAAA
ensembl:lncRNA